CGCUGGCGGCGUGCCUAACACAUGCAAGUCGAGCGAGGAGAUCCUUCGGGAUGAUCCUAGCGGCGGACGGGUGAGUAACACGUGGGCAACCUGCCUCAUAGAGAGGAAUAGCCUUCCGAAAGGGAGAUUAAUACCUCAUAACAUUGCAGUUUCGCAUGGAACAGCAAUUAAAGGAGUAAUCCGCUAUGAGAUGGGCCCGCGGCGCAUUAGCUAGUUGGUGAGGUAACGGCUCACCAAGGCGACGAUGCGUAGCCGACCUGAGAGGGUGAUCGGCCACAUUGGGACUGAGACACGGCCCAGACUCCUACGGGAGGCAGCAGUGGGGAAUAUUGCACAAUGGGGGAAACCCUGAUGCCAGCAACGCCGCGUGAGUGAUGACGGCCUUCGGGUUGUAAAGCUCUGUCUUCAGGGACGAUAAUGACGGUACCUGAGGAGGAAGCCACGGCUAACUACGUGCCAGCCGCGGC
rnacentral:rRNA from 1 species